AUACAUGUACUAUAAAAAAGAAUGUUAAGCAUGAUGAUUGGAUUUUCAUGUGUGAGAUGUGCCUCCUUCAAACUCUGUUACCAUGUCUGCACAUUACCUGUCUGACA
ensembl:snoRNA